GUGAGAAGAGAACCAAAGGAAAGAGCAGGGUAACAAUACCUCAGAGAAGAGAGAAUCCUGGAGAAUAUGGUCCACAGUGUAAUGUUGCAGAGAAAUCAAGAAGAAUCAGAAAGGAUUCACAGAUCUGACAACUAAGAGAUACCUGGUCAGGGCUCCCCUCCAUGGCAAAUGGGACAUUUGUCUAAUGAGUUGUGAACAAAUCUGUGGGUACAGCAAUGGCUCAAGCCUCUGGAAAACUCUGUCCAUUGCCCUGGAAUUCUGGGGGUUUGCCCAAGGCAUCGAGGAGUUUAUUCUACCCUGACACCAUCCUAAUCAGAAAGAAGCAGUUUGCCAAAUCUAGGUGGCACAAUGGGAAGAUGUGGAGUCAGGAGGACAACUUUCCCACUUCAGGCCUGAUAAUCAAUCCACUGCACCAAAGAGAUGAUUAUUCUCUGCAGGUUGGUGGAUUGCCUGUUAUUGUUGUCGUUGUGUCAUGUACAACUCUUUGUGACCUCAUUUGGGGUUUUCUUGUCAAAGUUGCUGGAGUGGUUUGCCAAUUUGUGGUCCAACUCAUUUUGCAGAUGAAGAAACUGAGGAAGACAGGGUUAAGUAACUUGCCCAGGGGAGGCUAG
rnacentral:lncRNA from 1 species